UAGAUACUCCCUCCGUCCGAAAAAACUUGUCCCUUAAAUGGAUGUAUCUAGCACCAAGUUAGUGAUAGAUACAUCCAUUUGAGAAACAAGAUUGACACAAGUUUUUUCGGACCGGGGGAGUAGAUG
rfam:Triticum aestivum genome assembly, contig: Triticum_aestivum_CS42_TGACv1_scaffold_556567_7AL